UUGAGGAAAAAGGAAAAAUGACUCGUGAGAUCUUCGUGAGGUGAAUGUGGGAGCUGAAGGAUAUCGUUAGAUUUACCUUUUUUUUUUAAUUUUUUUGCAAUUUUACUUUCCGUUCGCUAUGCGUGUCAUGUGCGAUGAAUAAAUAUUGAGAGCAGCCCCUGUUUGGGAGCAGCCGAAGCACACCCUACGUGCCAUCUGUGUAAUGACUGAAUUGACCCCCACUUUCCUUUCCCUCCCUCAGUAGUACUGUGCUCGAUUUGAGUUCGAAAAGAACCUCUCGCAACUCCCCUUUCCCCGGCUUCCUCUCGCAGUUCCCCUUUCCCCGGCUUCCUCUUGCAGUUCCCCUCUCCCCGUCUUUCCCCCUCCCCGAUUUGAGUUCGAAAAGAGCCUCUCGCAGCUCCCCUCUCCCCGGCUUUCCCCCUCCCCAAUUUUAGUUCGAAAAGAACCUCUCGUAGCUCCCCUCUCCCCGACUUUCCCCCUCCCCGUCGUCGGCAUCCCCCCACCAGCAGCACUCUCCCCCUCGUCUCGCUCAACCUCUUGCUGUACCGAAUCUCCUCAUUCUUUCGUUUCGUCUUCUUCGAUCUCCCUCCCGAGUUUUGUCGUCAACAUCCCCCUCCCCACCAAAACCUCAGCCCUCCCGAGGUUCUUAGUUCGUAAAUCCACCAACGGAAGCCGUCAUUCAGCAGACGAGAAGCCAGCCUCUGCCCUAAUACGCAAAUCUGUGAGAAGUUAGGAAAGUAAAUCAUCUCUGAUUCUAGGGUUUGGGCAAAUUUUUUUUUUUCCUCUAUUUACUUCAUUAUUUUUUGCUCCCUGUCAUUUUCUUUGCAGGUCCGUGUAUUUCAAAAACUCCAAACAGAAAAAACAGGGGCUAUUUUACCCUCGCUAUCCAGGUUCUUUCAUCACAUACAAUUUUAGUUAUAAUAAAAAAAACUCCAGAUUGAUAGAAUGUAAUUUGCAGGGUUAGGCUUGAUAUCAAAACUUGCUUAGAUUCAUAUGAAAUUCAUGUUUAACUAUUACUUAAUAAAAUACAAGCACAUAUGGUACUUGAUAUGUGUAAUUCUCAUAUAUCAUAAUGUUUAAUUUAAUUUUUCUAAUUUCUAACUGUUCUUUCAGAAUACGUCUUGGACCUCUGUUAUGGUAGUUCUAUGUUUUUAUUGUUUGAAAGUUAUUAGUUUGCUCUUUCCCGUGGACAAAAACAGGAAAAAAAUUAGAUUUUUUCCCAUUGAUUACUUCUUUGUUGUACUUGAUUCGAUUUGAAAAGUAAAACAAAUGCAUAGUUGGCUAAUGGAAAACUCAAUUGCGAUACUUUGUUUUAGCUUAACCCAAUGGUCUAAAUGUAAAAUCCCACCACGCACACUACACUUGCCGCUUGUCGUUUGGCAGUAUGCUAUCCCUUUAAUCAUAAGUUUUAAGCAUUGAAAUUUGAUUAGCUAUUGCAAUUCUACCAUCUGUUGGGUCUGACUAGUUUUGGUUUGCUUAUGUUUCUGAGAGAAAUAGGGAGCAGCACUUCUUGGUAAAGUCAGAUGCAUUUUUACAUUUAAUACUGCACAUACUAUUAAGGCAUUAAUAAAAAUAUGAGAUAAAAAUGUUUAGUUUCUGAUUUUGGUAAGAUCAAAUUUUAAAAUAAGCUAUUAGUUUUCGGUUUUUUUUUUUUUUUUACUUUUGUCAAGGUAAAGUCCUUUGGGGGGUUUUGAGAAAGAUUUGAAGUUUUUGAGUCUCCCUAUUUUUGUUUCUUCAAAAGAGAAAUAAGCUUUCUACCGAAAUGGAGUUUUAAACCUUCAUGCAGGUCCCCCCGCUGUAACGUAAUGAUGUCUUUAUGAUUUACCUUACUUUUAUGUAAGUUCCCAAUGUCUACACAUUUUGGAGAGAACCUCAAUAAAACCAGUAAUUUUUUUGGUAAUUAUAAGUCUCCUUGAACUUGAACUCGCGCUGUAAAUUUUAUGAAUUACAGACUCCUGAGUUCGACUUCUCAGAAGCACAAAUUUAUCUUUUGUUUUUUAGAAUCAGUCAUGUCAGCAUCUCAAUCAUCAUCUUUACUUAAUGAUUUUGUUAUGGAAUCUCCAACUUGUUGGUGUGGUUUGAGGACACCACUAAAGACAUCUCACACGUCGAAGAAUCCUGGAAGGAGAUUUUUCGUUUGCCUAAACUAUAAAACAGGAGAAGCAAGGUGUGAAUUUUUUGUAUGGGCCGAUAUACUUCAUUUGCUAGAUCUAAAUUUUCGUGCCCAUGAGAAUAAGGCGACAAAUAUUACGUGGAAUGAUGUAUUACAGCGUGAGUAUGCCGUUCGGAAAAGGGAAGAUAAAGUGAGAGAGAUAGCAAAGAAUUUGAAAAAGCAAAAGCAAAAACUUUUGUGUUUGUACUGGGUUCUAACUUUUGUAAUAGUGUUUAUUUGGCUUGUCUAAAUUGUAUGUAAAGUAUCUAGCUAUGAACUCUUUUGGUUUUGCAUGGUUCUUUUGAAGUGCAGAACAUGGUUUGAACCAUGACCAUUGUAUGUAAAUUGUCAAGGACCGUGUAGUACAGAACUUUUGGAUAUGAAAUUGACUUUGUAAUGCCUCUAGCAAAGUGUUAUUUA